GGGUGAUUAGCUCAGCUGGGAGAGCACCUCCCUUACAAGCUGAGGGUCGGCGGUUCGAUCCCGUCAUCACCGA
rnacentral:tRNA from 1 species